GAGCGGGUGUAGCAAUACACCAGCGGCAGACGGGUGAGUAACGCGUGGGAACGUACCUUUUGGUUCGGAACAACCCAGGGAAACUUGGGCUAAUACCGGAUAAGCCCUUACGGGGAAAGAUUUAUCGCCGAAAGAUCGGCCCGCGUCUGAUUAGCUAGUUGGUGAGGUAACGGCUCACCAAGGCGACGAUCAGUAGCUGGUCUGAGAGGAUGAUCAGCCACAUUGGGACUGAGACACGGCCCAAACUCCUACGGGAGGCAGCAGUGGGGAAUAUUGGACAAUGGGCGCAAGCCUGAUCCAGCCAUGCCGCGUGAGUGAUGAAGGCCCUAGGGUUGUAAAGCUCUUUUGUGCGGGAAGAUAAUGACGGUACCGCAAGAAUAAGCCCCGGCUAACUUCGUG
rnacentral:rRNA from 1 species